AUGGAUGGCAAUAAUAAUCAUGCAAUGUUAUGGCAUAAGAUUGUAGGUCACAUCGCACCGUCUAGCUGUAUUGAGCUUAUCCGCUCCACCAUCUUCACCAUAUGGUUGUUAUUUUUUUCAACUGGCUGGUCAAGUGUGUGGGGAAAAAAAUCUAAAGAGACUUCCUGUGGAAUGUCUAGGACAAGGCCCCGGAUGCCAAUACCUUGUCCCUUGGAUUGGCGUGUGCAAGUUGAAGACCUACAAAGGGCGGGAUCACCGACCUUCAAUGGCAAGGUAAAGCUCUCGAUAUCGGUUCAAUCUGACUCCCUUGGAAUGAUGUUUCCAAGCCCUCCCCUAAAUUUCUAUAAUCCUCAUAAGAUCCUCUUUUGA
rnacentral:rRNA from 1 species